AUCGAACUGACGAGUCCCAGAUAGGAUGAAACGCGAGUCCAGGAU
rnacentral:hammerhead_ribozyme from 1 species